rnacentral:rRNA from 1 species
UUCGCAAUGCCCGAAAGGGUGAACGAGCGACGCCGCGUGCGGGAUGAAGGCCUUCGGGUUGUAAACCGCUUUUCUUAAGGAAGAACUUAAUGACGGUACUUAAGGAAUAAGAGGUUACUAACUCUGUGCCAGUAGUAGCGGUAAUACAGAGACCUCAAGCGUUACCCGGAUUUAUUGGGCGUAAAGCGCGUGUAGGCGGGACGGCACGUCGGUCGCUGAAAGCCCCCGGCUCAACCGGGGAACGGGCGCCGAGACGACCGCCCUGGAGGGACGUAGGGGGACCUGGAACUUCCGGUGGAGCGGUGAAAUGCGUUGAGAUCGGAAGGAACGCCCGUGGCGAAAGCGAGGUCCUGGACGUCUGCUGACGCUGAGACGCGAAAGCCAGGGGAGCGAACGGGAUUAGAUACCCCGGUAGUCUUGGCCGUAAACGAUGGGCACUAAGUAGAGGGGUUUU